AAUAAUAAUCGCUGUAAGAUUCGUAGUUAGUGCGCACCGCGGCGUGUACUAAAGUUCAGGCCCUUUCGGGAGGCGUGUUGCUCGUUUCAUUCUCCUCUGUCUCUCCCAAUCGGAUAAAAAACUGUGUGACUGUUGCCCGAGAUUCUGCUUUGCACGGUAACUUUACAUACUUUUCUUCGUUCGCGGUGUUCUAUAAUGCUGAACUCAACCUGUACACUGCUGUGACACUUCCGUAAAUAUGAAUUAUAGAAUGGAACGACAGUGACAGUGAGACUCGAGCGAUUUUUCAUACGUGUUUAAUGAGUGCUACGUACACAAUUCAACCGAAGUUUCAGUGCAUUACUUUUUUGUUAUAAAUAAGGAUCCGUCAGGAGGUACUGAAGGAACGUUUAAGCUACUACGUGGUAUUGUAGGAUGACCGAUCCAAAAAUCGAGAUGCAUUACACGCCACCGAGCUCGGAUACCAUUCAAACAAAACCUUUUCCUAUUCGUGGCGAACGUGCCAAUUUCGUUAACAAGCCUCAUGUGAUCGCUAUGGUGGGCCUGCCGGCUCGGGGUAAAACGUACAUCUCGAAAAAGCUCUGCAGAUACUUGAAUUGGAUCGGUAUAAGCACGAAGGUGUUCAACUUGGGCGAAUACAGACGACACGCAACCACCGCGUAUCAGUGCCACGAAUUUUUCCGUCCCGAUAAUAUUAAGGCGAUGGCAAUACGUACCCAGUGCGCGAUGGACGCCCUGAACGAUGUCUGCCAAUGGUUGGAGAGCGGCGACGGUGAAGUAGCCGUGUUCGAUGCCACUAAUUCGACGAUCGAAAGGCGUCAGCUGAUCAGGGACAUUGUCGUCUCGAAGAUGGGCUUCAAACUGUUUUUUGUAGAGUCCGUCUGUAACGACCCGGAGAUCGUCGAACAGAAUAUUAUGGAAGUAAAGGUGAGCAGUCCCGAUUAUGCGAACAUGAAUAAGGAAGAAGUGUUAGCCGACUUCAUGUUGAGAAUCGAACACUAUCAAGAGAAGUAUCAACCGUUGGACGAGAAUCAAGAAAACGAUCUCUCCUUUAUGAAGAUUUACAACACCGGCGAGAAAGUGCUGGUCCACAAGCACGAGGGUCACAUACAAAGUAGGAUAGUUUAUUACCUUAUGAACAUCCAUAUAGUGCCACGUACGAUCUAUUUAACUAGGCAUGGCGAGAGCGUGAUGAACCUCGAAGGUAAGAUAGGCGGAGACUCAGAGUUGAGCGAAAGAGGCUGGGAAUAUGCCAAAGCAUUAGCGAGCUUCAUCACUAGUCAGGAUAUUCAGGGACUGAGAGUAUGGACUAGCUGGCUGAAGAGGACCAUACAAACGGCAAGCGAUGUGAACGUGCCUCAAGAAAGGUGGAAGGCUUUAAACGAAAUUGACGCGGGUAUCUGCGAGGAAAUGACUUACGAGGAAAUCUCGGACAAAUAUCCGACCGAUUUCGCUGCUAGAGAUCAAAAUAAAUUCUCGUAUCGGUACCCGAGAGGGGAAAGUUACGAAGACUUGGUCGCGCGUUUGGAACCUGUGAUAAUGGAGUUAGAACGGCAGGGUAAUGUUUUAGUCGUCAGCCAUCAAGCCGUUCUACGAUGCCUACUCGCUUACUUCUUAGACAAAAGCGCAGAUGAAUUACCAUACUUGCAAGUGCCACUACAUACUAUUAUUAAAUUAACGCCCGUCGCCUAUGGCUGCAAAGUGGAGCAUAUACGAUUACCAAUUGACGCAGUGGAUACGCACCGAGCAAAACCAAAGGUAGAAAUAAUCAGAAUUGAGCAGUAGUGUGUAGUUAUUCUUCUCUCCCUUUGUAAAUACAUCCUCCUCGCUAAAUAGAGAUGAAAGAGAGAAAGAGCAACGAAAUAAUAAGAGAAUUAAUCGAAACACUCCUAACUUGCUCCUAAUCUUAAUAAAAUACCUAAGUCCCUUACGAUACUUGUGUUUUAAUGUUCCCAGAAUGCCUGACCAUUAGUGGAUUGGGACUACUUUCGUAUCUAAUCUUUAUUUAAUGUAUCCUAUAAAAAAGUUAUCCAAUCUUAAGCUUUGUACACUAAACAUUGCGUCGCAUGCAUUUAUUUACUAAAAGGAGACGUUUAAGACGUCGUACCACGCACGUACUUACUACUAUAUUGUAAUCACAAUAGUUUUGUGUAACUGUGUACGAAAGUAAAUGUUAUCUGGUGUCAAAUUUAAAUGUUAGGCUUGCUAGCAGUAAAGAGACAUGUGUGUACAUGCAUAUUUAAAAGAGUAUGUCCGUCGUGAAACACGUAAGAUUUGUCUUUGUAGAUAGAUCGUCCAGUGAAUCGUGUAAAAAAAAAAAAAUGAACUUUGAUUGUCGUAGUGAAUAAGAAUCUGUUUACGUACAAAGUAAACUAUUUUGUUUGUAUUCGUGUGGUUGUAAUCGGGAUAUGCACAUAAAUGUUUCUAGCGGUACGACGUGACCACAGAAGUUUGACAUUAAAAUAUGUUUAACGAUGUAUCUGCGGAUAUCUAGAGGAACGAUUCCGAAGGAAAGGAAAAUUACCUCGCACGUGAUAACAACGAGGUCGUAGCACGACAGAGCUAAUUCUUACGGUUGUUACGAGAUGCUGAAGACACGCAUUCUUUCGGCAGCUGGCUGCCUUUGCACGUCCGACGCAAUGCGCAUCCCGUUUAAUUUCCUAACUCGAAACAAUUUAGACGAAAAUAUGACAGCAUCCAAUGCUAUUCCUACGUAACCAAGUUAUAUAUAUGACCAAAGGAUUCCCUUCUUUUUCAUUUUCCAACGAUACACACACUGUGUGUUAAGGUAGCGUGACAGUGUAUUUCAUCGAAUUCCGCAUCUAUUCGGAUAGAGACAGAUGUCUCGUGUAAUCAGGAGGAAGAUCCUAUUAUACUCGAGCGGACAUGUAACCACUUAUGUAAAUUUUUCACGAUUCAAACAAUUUUUCAAAUGA